GCACUGUCCAUACUUUUGUGUGUGUGUGGUGUGUGUGUGUGUGUGUGUGUGUGUGUGUGUAUAUAUAUAUAUACACAUACAGGAGCAAUGUA
rnacentral:miRNA from 1 species